UACAGAGGGUGCGAGCGUUGUCCGGAAUCACUGGGCGUAAAGGGCGCGUAGGCGGCCUGAUAAGUAGGGGGUGAAAUCUUGCGGCUCAACCGCAAGGCUGCCUUCUAAACUGUCAGGCUGGAGCACGGUAGAGGCAGAUGGAAUUCCCGGUGUAGCGGUGGAAUGCGUAGAGAUCGGGAAGAACACCAGUGGCGAAGGCGGUCUGCUGGGCCGUUGCUGACGCUGAGGCGCGACAGCGUUGGGAGCAAACAGG
rnacentral:rRNA from 1 species